AGACUGCGAAGGGCUCAUGAUAUCAGUUAUAGUUCAUUUGGAAUAGUUUUUAUGAGGAUAACCGUAGUAAUUAUAGGGGUAAUACAAGAGUUUUCUUCGAUGGGCAACCAUUAAAGAAGUACUUAUUAGACAUAAAACCAAUGUAAUGGUCUUAGAGUAAUAAUAAUAGUUGUCUUUAUCGCAUGCUUGUUAGUAGCGAUGUUCCUUUCAAG
rnacentral:rRNA from 1 species